GGCACCACAAAACCACUUGAUCAGAUUCACACUACAUCUCACAACCAUUUCAGCCGGCUCUUUCUCUGCACAAGCCAAACCCGCAAUCCAUUGCACUCCAAAUACCACGAUACCAACCACUCUACUCUUUCAUUCUUGAUUCACAACAAAACCUCAUUUGUUCCCUGCCUUUCCGAGAGCAUCCGAGAGAGUGAGAGAGCUGCUGGAAAUUUUUGGUCCUGCCGUGAGUAGAGCAAAGCCAGGAAGGAGAAUCUGCAGGAAGCUACACCAUCUCACCUUCAUCCGCAACCCAAUUCCAGCCGCAACUCAAACCAGGACCACGUCUGAACUUGGCCGAGAGUGAGGGAAGACAUUUCUGGAAAAUUCGUGUGAGGGUUUAGCUAUUAGCUGAGGAUUUUACGAGGACGCGGAACUCGAUCCUCAAUCCAAUAUCUGAACUUCACUCGUGGUUUUGGAAACUGAAAGCUGGAGGCUUAAUUAUGUUUUCUUUUGGGCUGUAUUUGAAUACUAUAACUUAUUCCGUGAGCUGUAACGUGUUAUUGAAUAAUGUAUUUUCCUUUUUGGAUUGUCACUUGAAGCUGGAAAAUGUGUAAACCCUAAGUCGAUUACUUGGCGUGUAAGUUAUGUUAUGAAUUUAUGCAUUUUAUCUAUCCGGUUUGUUAUGACCUUGUACUUUGGUAAGUAGCACGUAGGACGUUUAAAGGCCUCGACUGGUCAUUUUUAUCAUAGCUAUCUCUGAAGUUAAUGUGGCAUUAGGUAUGAUUCUCUUCGGGGAAAAUUGUUUUGUAAUAGAUUAGUUUAUUCUUCGAAAGGUUUCGGGUUAGAGUGCUCGCGUGAGUCCUGGCGAGAGUUGGGCAGACGGCCCGCCAACCCUUUGGUUCGCCUCAGGGGAAAGUGGGGUCGCCACAGAUUGGUUGGGCAGAUUGCAAAAAGGCAGGCUGUGGUGAAUCUUGAAAACAAGUUUUUCUCUGUGAAGAGGUUUGUUGGGGGAAGAUGUCUGAGGUGGAUGAGGAAUCUAAGCAGGUUUCGUAUAAAGCUGUGAGAGAUGAGAACAAUAAUUAAAAAAAAAAAGAAAAAUUAAUUUUGAUGUCAUUCCAACUAUGCUUGUACCAAGCAUCGGUCUGUGGAAUGAUACCAGGGUUCAAAACCCAUACUGAUUUUUUGUAUAUUAUUCCAUCUCCAAUUCCAAUUCCAGAGCAUGAAACAAGCACCCCCUGAGAGUUGGCUGAAUGAACAGUAAAAGGGUAUCCGUUGGUUAUUUCGGUAUUUAUUGAUAUUUUUGGGCUAUUGCGGUCCAUUUGCAUCGGUUCCAGCUGAUAGUUCCUCAUGUGAUUAGCAUUAGCCUUAGUUAGUUCCUUAUUUUUCGGUAAUGCCAUUUGCUGUUUCUCCCUUACUCAGGACGCCGGAAGAUGCAUGCUAUAGUUGGUUGGUUCCUUUGUAAUUUUAUUUGUUCUUUGUUCCUCUUUUGUUUGCGUCGUUGUUGCCGCAGAGAUGGGCCACCUUAGCUGUUCAUGUGUAUUAGUUUAGCCUUAGUUGUUGCCUUAUUUUCCAGUUAUGCCAUUUAUCUUUCCCUUCAUUCAACAUGUAUAUUAUAUUUACUUGCUUGCAUUGUAAUUUUGUUGUUUUUUUGGCCCUAAA